rnacentral:lncRNA from 1 species
UCGACACCAGCCUCACCUGCGCCAUGCGCUGUGGAGUCGCUCACCGGCAGCAGGUUGUCGCUGAGGUUGUGUUCACGACCCGUUCAGAAAGGACUUCAUAUUUAGAACCGACACCAGCGACAGAAGUCACACACCCGUCUGUGCAACUACCCGAACCAGCUACCAGAGCCCGAGCUGACUGAAGACAGUUAUUCUGCUGCUCUUCACUAGAACAGGAGCCAGUGGACAAGAUCACCUCCAGACUCCAGCAUGAAGGAACUCUGAGCCUCAUCCUGACCCAAAUAUUCAUCUACAGGCACAGUGGAGCCACACAGUAAAACUGCAGGAUUAAAACAUCACCUGGUCACCUCGCUGUUGUAAGAAUCACCUCUCAUGAUGUUAUUUCAUCCCAAGAAAUUCUUAAAACAUUAAAGAAAAAUAUAUAUAAGAAUAUACACAAAAUAUGUGUUUUCUGGAUCUUUUGACUUCUUUUUAACUAUUGCAAUUAACAGUCAAUUAAAAAAUGGUUCCUGUGCAUUUAUCAUAAUAUACAAGCUUUAUUUCAUGUGUUAUAAACAUACUGUAUAAAAUUUGCUGAAGCAUUCAAAACAAGUAACACUCAUCAUAAGCGAUCGUCAUCGCAGAGAAAGUCCCCUCCACCAAUUUGUCUGUUACACUGAGGGUUGACU